UACGUAGACAGCAAGCUCCCGCGGCCUCGUUUUAACGCGGUUGUUCCAAAGGGGAGGGGAGAAGACGUGAGCUCGGGGAGAAGAAAGUGCCACCGCUCCGGUGGGGGGGAGGGGCGAGAGACCCAGAAGGUUCGAUUUACGGUUUCCACCCCCCCUGUUCAGUCAUCUGGCCAAGGGCUCAGGGGGAGCGCGUGCCUUCCGUGGGGACCAGCACAUUCUCUAAGAGCCCAGGGUGUUUUCCCCAGCUCCCAAGCAGCUGCCUCCCCCAUUACACCUUGAGCAGAGUCCAGUGACCUGCUCCGGAGGUGACAAAGGCCACCCGCCCCGAUAAUCCAGCCUCCGAGGCAUCCAAAAUGCACACGCGCUUGGCCGUAUCCUAACUUGUUCGCUCAUGUCCAUCUCUGCCUUGGAGCUUUUUUGGCAAGAAGGUAUGAGGGAGAUGGACGGAGGAUAGACUCUACCUCACACGAUGAAAGAGAAAUUAUUCAUGCUACAGCUCUCAUGGUUCAGCACCCUCUCCCUGAAAUUCUGAGGAACACGAAACAAGCUGCAGACAUCCUCUGGAGAAUGAACACUGCCCUCUGUUCAGUGUUCCCUGCGUGACUCUCCUCUGCCUGGUGUUGAGGUAAAGGAACAGGCUGGAGGUGAUUCUGGAUCCCUCUGCCAUGUGGAGGAUAAGGCUGGCAGCUCUCACCUCUGCAAAUGAGAAUGAUGUUCUCUGGAGGUUUCCUGAAAAGGCUGACCGGAAGAAGAAACAAGUUUGUGGGCAAGAGUUCUGUGUGGAGCUCUCCUGCUGAACUCAGCCGGGUGGCCAGAGACUGGAAAAAUGGGGAGGGCUUGAUGAGUGACUGGCUUAGAACACUGUGUCCCUUGCCUCAGCUCAAUGGCUCCAAACUUUAACCACAGGUGUGCAAAUCUGAUUGUAAAUCAUAAAUUUUGGAACAUAUCCCUCUGAAGAAUAUGCAAACUUUGAGUUUCACUUAUUCUCCGUUGAAGUUCCUGUUCAGAAUGCUGAUUAAUCGGAUACUCUGUUUUUUGCCGACUUUCCCUGGAGAAUAUGAAUUAAUAGACAAUAAAUUUAA